rnacentral:rRNA from 1 species
UACGGGGGGGGUAAGCGUUGUUCGGAAUUACUGGGCGUAAAGGGUGUGUAGGCGGUUUGGUAAGUCUGGUGUGAAAUCUCCCGGCUCAACUGGGAGGGUGCGCCGGAAACUGCUGGACUUCGAGUGCGGGAGAGGAAAGUGGAAUUCCUGGUGUAGCGGUGAAAUGCGUAGAUAUCAGGAGGAACACCGGUGGUGUAGACGGCUUUCUGGACCGUAACUGACGCUGAAACACGAAAGCGUGGGUAGCAAACAGG